rnacentral:rRNA from 1 species
UACGAAGGGGGCGAGCGUUGUUCGGAAUUACUGGGCGUAAAGCGCACGUAGGCGGCUUUUUAAGUCAGGGGUGAAAUCCCGGGGCUCAACCCCGGAACUGCCCUUGAAACUGGAGAGCUAGAAUCUUGGAGAGGCGAGUAGAAUUCCGAGUGUAGAGGUGAAAUUCGUAGAUAUUCGGAAGAACACCAGUGGCGAAGGCGACUCGCUGGACAAGUAUUGACGCUGAGGUGCGAAAGCGUGGGGAGCAAACAGG